UACGUAGGUGGCAAGCGUUGUCCGGAUUUACUGGGUGUAAAGGGCGUGUAGGCGGAGAUGCAAGUCAGAAGUGAAAUCCAUGGGCUUAACCCAUGAACUGCUUUUGAAACUGUAUCCCUUGAGUAUCGGAGAGGCAGGCGGAAUUCCUAGUGUAGCGGUGAAAUGCGUAGAUAUUAGGAGGAACACCAGUGGCGAAGGCGGCCUGCUGGACGACAACUGACGCUGAGGCGCGAAAGCGUGGGGAGCAAACAGG
rnacentral:rRNA from 1 species